GAGGUUUAUGCAACUUAGUUGAUUCUAACUGAAACAAUUGUUGUUACGACCAUUCUUGUAAGAACUCGACCAGUCCAGCCAGUUGAAUUGGUUUAAUUGGUCCAGUUAAAGUAUAAAAUCCUCUUUUUGUACAAAUUGGGGUUGAUCGUUGUGAACCAGCCAGGUAACCGAUGAACUGGUCAACCCGAUCUUGUUUAAAUGGGUUGAUCAGGUCAUCCAAAAAAAUUUAGAAUCAGCUUGCAAAGGGAGGACUUGAACCUAGCACCAUGUGAUUCAGGAAUGAGUUGUUGCCAACUAAACUGGGCAUUAGAUUUGUGCAUUUCUCUUCAUACACGCACUCUCUCUCUCUUUUGCAUCUAUUAAAUUACCAUAUAAAAUAUAUCAAAAUUAUAUUAAUUUAAAAUAAUUAAUAACUAACUAUGAUAAUUAUAAAAAAGAUUAAAAUUUAUUUAUUUUGUUAAAUUGUGACAUGAACAAUUAAUAAUGUCAGUAAUUUAUUUUAUUAGUAUGUUAACUUGAAUUAUUGAAUUAUUUUUCUAAUUUAUAACCUUUUACAUAAUAAAAAAUAUGAAUUUUCUUUACUU
rnacentral:misc_RNA from 1 species